GGACUACCCGGGUAUCUAAUCCUGUUUGAUCCCCACGCUUUCGUGCCUCAGUGUCAAUAAUAGUGUAGCGAGCUGCCUUCGCAAUCGAUGUUCUAUGUCAUAUCUAAGCAUUUCACCGCUACAUGACAUAUUCCGCUCACCUCCACUAUAUUCAAGAUAAAUAGUAUCAACGGCAGUUUCUAAGUUAAGCUUAGAGAUUUCACCACUGACUUACCUACCCACCUACGCACCCUUUAAACCCAGUGAAUCCGGAUAACGCUUGCACCCUCCGUAUUACCGCGGCUGCUGGCAC
rnacentral:rRNA from 2 species